UGAAAACGCGUUUGGGCCUAGGUUCGGAAAGCCUAAUAGAAUUUUCUUUAGGGAAGGGGGUGUAGGAGCAAAAUUAUAGAUACUGGAAAUGAAACACGUUGGGCCCGGGUUCAUAGAGCCAAUCAGGACUUGGUUAAGGGAAGCAAUACAAAGAGCACCUGAGCAAUGUGAUUCGGCAUAACCAAGUCAAUGUCACACGUGGGGCUUAUGAAUUGACACUAGAUUGAAGUCAAAAUAAAUAUAACGAGCGCCACCAGGGGAAAUGAACUCAGGUCAAAGCUUCAUCUGAACCACCGUGGACCACCAUGUCAGAAAUCGCUUCUGGCGGCGGUGGCCACCAAAAAUCAACAUCAAACACACCAUUAGAACCACUUCGGUCUCCUUUCCACUAAUCUGCAACUAGAUUUCUUAGAUUCUAAACCUAACUCCAAAAUCGCAUAGAUCCGUUCAAGAACCCAAAAACUCCACUCAUAAAUUAAACUUCAAAUAUGAGGAAUCAAAGCCCCCGGGGUUAGGGAUUUGCUCCUCCUCUCCUAAUCCUACAUCCUCGCCAGAAGGAAAGCAACAAAUUAAAACAAACACUAACCUCUAUAGUAGAGUAUCAACGACGCCGAAAACGAAUGGCGAGAAAAUACCAGAGACAACUUCAAGGGUUGUUGUUUGUUGCUAGCUAAACCUGGUGAAUGUUCAUUGCUCAUGGGGUCCAGGUCUACCAAGGUGAUUCUUUCAUGUUUUCAUGCUUGCCAUGUGAGGUGUGUUAUGACUGAAUGUCAAUGAAUAGAAUAUCCUUGACUGGAUUAUUAAGGAGUUGUGUUUCAUGCUUGACCAAGAACUUGUCCCAUUUUAUACUACUUUUUCAUGAGCUGGUUGUGAACCGAUUCAUGAAGUUGUUGAGAGUUUGGAUUGAGGUUGUAUAUGUUAGGUAUGGUUUAUGUAGGCUUGUAAGGUUUGCACUGGUCUGGUUUUGUAGGGUUCAUUUCCUGGUUUGCAGACUGCAUAUUAUGGUUACAUUGCUUUCAUCAAUCAGGUUCAAUGUUGGUGGUGACAAGCAGCUUGAACAAUGCCUUGAAUUCAACUGAUUUUACCUAGACUAUCUUUACUAUUUGUAGGUCCUGACCUAGAAUAGCUCGAGGAAAUUCAUUGAGCAAUGUUGAUGUGGAACUGAUCAUUACUCAUUGUGCAGCAGGUCACUUGGACAAUGCAUCAUGACAUAAAGUUUGGAUUUUUGGACUAUCAUGUACAAAAGGCCAAAAACCAAGGAUCAAGGAUCAAAAAGGAAGAUUAGGGAUCGAAUUAGGAUUAGGGUUAGUAAAAUUAGGGUUUUGGGGAAUUGGGUUGAUUUUGGUCAAAGUUGACGAAAAAGUUAACUGUUGACCAAAAUCAACAUUUGGUUAAACUUCCAUUUUUUUUGUAUUUUUCCAUGUGUCGAACAUUUUAUUUGUAAUAAUGGCAUUUUAUGUAUAUGAAUGAAAUUGUCACUUGUUUAUGAAUGAAUUUGGUACUUGUAUGAUGAA